CGUGAAAGGGAAGCGUUUAUGACCAGACUUGGGCUUGGUUAAUCAUCUGGGGUUCUCCCCAGUGCACUUUUCCAGUCCAGGCCAGCAUCAGUUUUCGCCGGGGGAUAAAGGCUUCGGGAAUGUGGCUCUCUCCGGGGAGUGUUAUAGCCCGUUGCGUAAUACCCUGGCGGGACUGAGGUUCGCGCAUC
rnacentral:rRNA from 1 species